GUUCAAUUUGGCUGCACAUACACUAAAAUUGGAACCAUACAGAGAUUAGGCUAGCCUCUGUUCAAAGAUCACAUGCAAAUUCAUGAAGCAUUCCAUAAAAGU